AGACAGAACACAACAUGGAAUUUUAUUGAAUAGUUUGGGGUUGGCCUAGUCUCAGAGGAAUGCUCCUUAGAGCAAGAUGCUGGUGACAGGUUGCCCUAUGCUGGGCAGCUGGCAUCGAACCCCCCCCUCCCCCCCUCGCCACACUGGGAGAAUGGGGAUCCGAUUACGGAUCUUCAGUUGGGGGUGGUGGGGAGGUGGAAGGUCAUUGGAGGCUGUUGCUGCAUGCAAAACACCAAGUGGGAGACAUAAGGUUUGAGUUGACAUACAAAUAUUCCCCUAGAUUUAUGCCCAUUGGUUGAAAGAAAUUCAUUGUUAUACAAGUGAGCCCAUAGAUUAAUUGGCAAAGAGGUAACAUUAUGACACUACUAUAUAGACACAUGCUAUGGUGAUGAGGUGACAUUAUGACACUACUAUAUAGACACAUGCUAUGGUGAUGAGGUGACAUUAUGACACUACUAUAUAGACACAUGCUAUGCUGAUGAGGUGACAUUAUGACACUACUAUAUAGACACAUGCUAUGGUGAUGAGAUAACAUUAUGCUGAUGAGGUAACGUCAUGCUGAUGAGAUAACAUUAUGACACUACUAAUUAGACACAUGCUAUGCUGAUGAGGUGUCAUUAUGCUGAUGAGGUAACAUUGUGCUAAUGAGUGAGAUUGGAAGCGAUGUGAAUUACAUCAGUUUACUAGAUGAAUGGAAAGUGAUGAUCCAUUCAGACCAAUAUUAUUUUAACCUAGCUAGGAAGCAUGUUUGAAAUCACUGAAAUAUGCAAUAAGGGUUCAUUUCUUUCACACUGUAAACACACAGUACAUGAAUGAGAGUGCAUUGUUUUUGAUUUAUCCCAGAAACCUGGCUGGAGGUUUUCACUGAAUAGGGCCUGAAGUUGUGUCUAAGUGGGGGCUAGUUGGGUUUCUCAUCCUGUGCUGAUUCAAUGAUCUGGCAGAUAAGAUACAGUCCUUUUAUAGAUGAUCUUUACUCAUGGUGUCAUCACAUCUUCAUUUAAUGUUUAACCUUUAGCCUAAACAACACUCACACCAUGUGGUGGAACCUAUUUUAAGUUAUAAACAUAAUGUAAAAGUAAUGCUGUAAAUUGUAGUUUAAUUUCAAUGUUAUACAACUGAAA
ensembl:lncRNA